UCCUCAUUCGCUCAGUGGUGAAUGAAGGAGAAGUGAAGGAGCUGAUUCACAUUCUUCAACGUGUUCAUACAGUCAGUGGUGGAGCUUCAUGUCAAAUUAAAAGGAAUCGAACACUUAAUUUGAGAGCAAAUCACUGAAGAUUUCCUAAAGGGAAGGUGUCAACAAGAUUUGCUCCUGAAGGAUCAAAGCAUACUCCUCAGUUCUCACCAAUCAUGGGACUUUAGUUUUAGGGGCAAUAGAGUACUGACCCUUGGUUUCAGGUCAUUGUGAUUUAUGGCCAUUAACUUCCAUGAUGCAUUUUUUUUUCUUUCUUUGCAUUUGACGGCUAGAAGGAUCUUCCUUGCAGGUGCACAACCCAUAUGCAAAAUCUUAUAGGAUAUUUCCCUUUCUCAAAUUUGUGUGUUUUAGGAAUAUGGAUUACGUAUAUGCAAAAGUUAACUUAAAGUAUAUUUGGAUGUGCCAAUCACUUGGACCCUGGAUGAAACCAACAUUUCCUCCUGCAGGAGCAAGAGCCAAGAGCUUUGCUCGAAUGUGUUGGAAGUGAGAAAUAUUCAUUUUGUGUCAUCAGGGAGGCAUGAGGGGCCACGGCGACUUUGAUGAUGUUGCCGGUGCGAGGGCAAAAUAAAAGAGUAAUAUUUUCUCAAUAAAAGAGAGAUCAAUAUUUAUGUAAAUAACUAGACAAAUUUAUGGGUAAGUAGACCAAGUUUUGGUAGUCCCA